rnacentral:tRNA from 1 species
GGGAGCGUGGCAGAGUGGCUUAAUGCUGAACCGGCGCUAUGGCCGGUAAGAGGUUCGAGGCAUAGUACCCGAUCCCCGUGGGUUCGAAUCCCACCGUUCCCA